rnacentral:lncRNA from 12 species
AAAAGAUUGGAACUUCGGGUUUUGCCAGUUCCAGCUUAAUGACUGGUUUUGAAGCAGAAUUGUUCCAGGGAAGGGCUGAUAAUAUAAAAAUAUAUCUGGUAGGCUGGUUUGUUUUUGCUGUAAAUUUGUAGCAGGAAAAAGACAUGUUAGCACUGCAGGACUGCUGGGAGUCAAAUUUUCUGUCUCUUGACUAUCUUAGCAAUUUGAACAAAUACUCUCUUCUGAAUGUCUGGCAUUCCUAAUUAUUGCUGUAGCUAAUUUGUUCUGUCUUUUUCAAAUUAUUUUAUUACUUUGUCUGAUAAAGUAUAUUCUUGUAUUUGCAAAUAAUGAUGUGUAGCUUGUUAUCAUCCACUUUUUAAUGACACUUUUUGCAGAUUUACCUGGUGAUUAGUGCCAAGAAAAAUAAUUUUUCUCGGCUAUUUUCCUGCUGUUGAGUAGUAUCUCUCCUCUCCAGGAACUUUAUGAGCUCAGGAGAUCUUUAUUGUUGUCUCAGAAGGUCUGGAAGGCCAAGAUUAAAUUCACUAAGGUCUAAUCAGAUUUUCAUAAAGUUGAGCCAGAAAACGAGGUUGCUCCUGUCUCCAUAUUUGACUGGUUUGCUCUUUAUUUUUUAAAAUUGCAUCUCUGACUCCCCUGCUCUGGUGAUGGCACAGGCAGCCUCAGCAUUGCCUCCUCAGGAGAGAGGAAAGCUGCAGGGAGGGCUGCUGGCAGCCCAGCGCCCUGGCACAGCUCUGGCUCCUGCUCUGGUGUUUCUGUGGCACCUUUCCACGUCUGAGCUGGGAGAGCAGGCAGUGUGAGCUGCUGAUGGUGCUGCUGAUUUUCCUGGUGUAACUCUGGAUAGAACUGGUGUCACAGCAGAAGGGGAAGGGAGCAGGUCUGUGAGCUGUCUGUCAUGGAGCACAGGGAGCUCCUGCGGCCCUGCCGGGGAGUUUCUGCAGUUCCUGCGGCCCUGCCGGGCCGUUUCUGCCGGGCCGUUCCUGCCGGGGAGUUCCUGCAGUUCCUGCCGGGCCAUUUCUGCAGUUCCUGCCGGGGAGUUCCUGCAGUUCCUGCCGGGCCAUUUCUGCAGUUCCUGCCGGGGAGUUCCUGCAGUUCCUGCCGGGCCAUUUCUGCAGUUCCUGCCGGGGAGUUCCUGCAGUUCCUGCCGGGCCAUUUCUGCAGUUCCUGCCGGGGAGUUCCUGCAGUUCCUGCCGGGCCAUUUCUGCAGUUCCUGCCGGGGAGUUCCUGCAGUUCCUGCCGGGCCAUUUCUGCAGUUCCUGCCGGGGAGUUCCUGCAGUUCCUGCCGGGCCAUUUCUGCAGUUCCUGCCGGGGAGUUCCUGCAGUUCCUGCCGGGCCAUUUCUGCAGUUCCUGCCGGGGAGUUCCUGCAGUUCCUGCCGGGCCAUUUCUGCAGUUCCUGCCGGGGAGUUCCUGCAGUUCCUGCCGGGCCAUUUCUGCAGUUCCUGCCGGGGAGUUCCUGCAGUUCCUGCCGGGCCAUUUCUGCAGUUCCUGCCGGGGAGUUCCUGCAGUUCCUGCCGGGCCAUUUCUGCAGUUCCUGCCGGGGAGUUCCUGCAGUUCCUGCCGGGCCAUUUCUGCAGUUCCUGCCGGGGAGUUCCUGCAGUUCCUGCCGGGCCAUUUCUGCAGUUCCUGCCGGGGAGUUCCUGCAGCUCCUGCCGGGCCGCCUCUGCGGUUCCUGCAGCCCUGCACCAGGCAGUGCAGCGUCCCUGGGCUCUGCGCUUGCAGCAGGACUCGGUCUGUGCUCUGGAGAGCUCAGAGGGAGAGUCCAAAGCCCAAGACUUCGCAGCCCUGGUCAGAAGCUGCUGCUCUCCAGCUGGCACUUACCUGCCUGAGUGACUCCAUAAUCCUGAAUGAGUGUUUUUUUGCUGCCCCACUAUUGAGCUGGAGGCAAGCUGAAGAGCAGGACAGUCCAUCCACAUGUGCUGCAGAAUGAAAAAUCCUGAAGCAGGAAUUGAG